rnacentral:rRNA from 1 species
GGAUUGCCUCAGUAACGGCGAGUGAAGCGGCAACAGCUCAAAUUUGAAAUCUGGGUCUUUCAGGCUCCGAGUUGUAAUUUGUAGAAGAUGCUUCGGGUGUGGCUCCGGUCUAAGUCCCUUGGAACAGGGCGUCAUAGAGGGUGAGAAUCCCGUAUGUGACUGGCUGCCUCCGCUCAUGUGAAGCUCUUUCGACGAGUCGAGUUGUUUGGGAAUGCAGCUCAAAAUGGGUGGUAAAUUUCAUCUAAAGCUAAAUAUUGGCCAGAGACCGAUAGCGCACAAGUAGAGUGAUCGAAAGAUGAAAAGCACUUUGGAAAGAGAGUUAAACAGUACGUGAAAUUGUUGAAAGGGAAGCGCUUGCAAUCAGACUUGCGCGCCGUCGAUCAUCCUCGGUUCUCCGGGGUGCACUCGGCGGCGCUCAGGCCAGCAUCGGUUUCGGUGGUUGGAUAAAGGUCCUAGGAAUGUGGCUCCCCUCGGGGAGUGUUAUAGCCUAGGGCGCAAUGCAGCCUACCGGGACCGAGGACCGCGCUUCGGCUAGGAUGCUGGCGUAAUGGUUGUAAGCGACCCGUCUUGAAACACGGACCAAGGAGUCUAACACUUAUGCGAGUGUUUGGGUGUUAAACCCAUACGCGUAAUGAAAGUGAACGGAGGUGAGAGCCCUUAAGGGUGCAUCAUCGACCGGUCCUGAAGUUUACGGACGGAUCUGAGUAAGAGCAUAAUUGUUGGGACCCGAAAGAUGGUGAACUAUGCCUGAAUAGGGUGAAGCCAGAGGAAACUCUGGUGGAGGCUCGCAGCGGUUCUGACGUGCAAAUCGAUCGUCAAAUUUGGGUAUAGGGGCGAAAGACUAAUCGAACCAUCUAGUAGC